rnacentral:tRNA from 1 species
GGUGGCUCAGUGGUAGAGCACUUGCCUGGCAAUGCAUGAAGCCCUGGGUUCCAUUCCCAACACCA